GCAUUUUUCAAAUUUGCGUUGGGGGUGGAGUUAUCCUUUCACAGGUGGGGUAAGUUACACUUUAAAUUUUAUCACCUGGAGGAGAUGAAUGCUUUGAAUGCAACACACGCACAAACAAGUGAGAAGGAUGAGUGUGAAUAUCGGAUUAUGUAAAAGACUGAAAAGUUGUUGUGAAGCAGGCCUUCCUGGAACUCACUUGGCGCAAGAUCAAAGAAUCUCUCAGGGAGAUUUCAGCACCUAGAUGAAAUUGAAUGGCCGAUUAUAGUGAGAUUUCUCCCCAGUAUCGAGUAGAAGAUGACAGCACACUGUCAUCGAAGCAAGUGGAAAUAAUGAGACAGUGGAAAACACAGGAAUCUUUCUGUAAAAAUGAUUCACACCACUGAAAGAAAUUUGUGAGUCAGCCCAAAAUUGAGUUCAGAAAAGCCGGUUUUCCACCUACGUGGUUUGGUUUGGCUCCACCCCACUCUGCACCCGUUUUGUGAAUUUCCACUGCGGCUCCUGCCCGCUUUCGGCCCACUUUUUCGAACCUCCUCUCGAGGUAGUACUGAGGCCGACACCAUUUGGGGAGUGAAGGUGCCGAAGUGUGUAGCAAUAGCGAUUGGCCAGUGGAGCUACAUGAACCGCCCUGGAUGACAUUAACAAAUGYGCGAAGAUCCAAAGCGAGCUGAUUUACUGAGAUUUUCCAAAUGAUGGCGGCGCGCCGGGAGAAAUUAAAAAUAUUAAGCCAGUUUUCAGAGCAGUGAAGGACCGCAAUGGCCCGAGUUGCUCAAAGCAGUGGGAUUAGAGCUGGUUUGGGUAAAUGGAGACGAUCUCUCUCUACAGCCACCGGUCUGGCUGCUGCUAACUGUAGACUGGACUGUUCACAAACUUCAGACAUCUGCAGACGCAUGAGAGCAGUUCCCCCAACCUGCAACUGGAGAACAACUGAACCCCUCUUCCUCUCCACCUGGGGACACCAAACUCUCAUCUGAGAAUGAGAACAUAAAACCUACUCCCAGAAGGACAAGAAUGGAGAUUACAUUGAGGAUCAUGGAACGAGAAGAAAUCCACACAAAUCUGAAGCAACUCUGAGCAGCGGAGAAAAUACAAGAUUGGAAAAGGUUUAUUCACAGUUAUGAUGAAGAGUAUUUUUAUUUCUGGGAGGAAUGAAAAAUUGAAUUUCUGGGGUUGAGAAAUGUUUAGAAAUAUCCUGUUGUAAUGAACAGAUGUUGGAAACUUUAUAAAUAAAGGUUUUCAUAUUA